GCUUCUAUUUGAGCUGCUGUAAGUGCAUGUGCCUGCAUGUGUGGAUGCACCCGAUGAGUCCUAAGUGAUUCUAUGAGAAAGUUAGUAUGCAGUAAGAUCAGAUGUGAAUUUAUAGCACGUAUGUGGAACAGACAGUGCACUGUAACUUCACACUCUAGCUUAUUCUGCUUAUUGCUACAAUGUUAAGCAGUUAGGGCUUGCGUAUAAUAAAAACUGAACUUCCUCCUAAUCUUUUUAAGCACCUUCUUCUAAUAUAACAACCCCACCCUCUCUGACCAGAAGUAAAAACAUCUAAAAUAGUCUCAGUACAGGAGUAACCCACUGCUCAUUAACUAGGGAUGCACAAAAUAUUUAUUUCUAUUCAUAAUAUAUCUUGCUAAACUAGUUUUCUUAAACAACUCAUUGUUAUUUUCUUUUUUUAAUAAUUACUUAUCCACUAGGGUAUGACUAAGGCUAUGUUUUUGGCACAUUUCUUUUUAAUAAAUGUCAUAGAAGAGGUGUGGAAAAUGCAGUAUUCAAGGAAAAGUGCCAAAGCAUGCUUGCUACAUGUUGACAACAGUGAAACAGUACCUUAGCAGAGCUCAUUUCUCUACUCUGGACCACUGCCUCAUAGGAGUUGUAGCUUGAAGGGCUAUUGCCCCCAUUCUUUCAGCCAACAUCUGUGGCUGAAUUACACCUUCCAUGAUCCUGUGUGCUCUUCCCUUUCAUAGAAUGCCAGGGUCCUCCUGAUUCUCACUGAGUUUCUACAUUGUUGUGGUUUCCAAACCUCCAUGGCUGCUGUGACAAAAAUGUAGUCUUAGUCAUGACUGGCAGCCUGUGCUAAAUAACCAUCUAACUAGUAUGGACUGGAGAAGUAAAUACAGGUACUCCUCACUUAACGUCAUCCCAGUUAAGGUUGUUUCAUUAUUACAUCGCUGAUCUAUUAGAGAACAUACUUGUUUAAAGUCGUGCAAUGUUCGGUUACAACUCUGUUUGGCCACUGCCUGCUAGUAGGUAACUCUUGUGAUGUAAUCAGAUUUGCUUAACAUCAUUUUGCUUAAAGUUGCAAUUUUCAAGAACAUAACUAUGAUGUUAAGUGAGGAAUAGUUGUACAGCUCUUCUAAAUUAACUAAAGAAGAUACUGUUACAUCCAUCUUAAGAGUUUGCUGAGCUCUAUGGUCAGUACAACAAAGUAUUCACCUUCAUAAGCCAAUAAAAGUAGUAGAUAGAUGUCACUGAUAACUGUACCCAUGUUUAAAAAUACAGAUCAGAAGCUUUUUAAAAAACAAUCAACCAUGUAGUCAAAGAGCUAAAACACUUUAUUCUAAUCUCUUGGUAUAUGCUUUGUCAAAAAAAGUCAUUAUACAUCCAGAUAAUCUAAUACAAUUUACUUACAAAAUACGCUUUGUAUAAACUGUAAAACCCUUUUAUUUUGAUUAGAUAGAUCAUUCCUUUAUCUUGCAUAUG